UUUCAGCAUCCUGGAGUUGCGUGGACAAACAGCAGCAGUAGACACUGCAUGAGUCCAAGGAGGUAACGAGACAUCCUUUCAUGAGCUCACUGAAGUCACUAGAACAAGCCCCCCUCUGCAUGCUCUCCUCACUGCUGAGCAACCACAACAGACGAUGUGCACAGGAGCUGCUGCCACAGGACCCAAUUAUGGUUUUCAAUCUGCACAUAAUCAGUGACAGAAGAGAUCCAUUGAUUCCAUUGUUUUUGGCCACGAUCAGAAAUCAUACUUCAACUAUGUCCAAUACCUUUUGCAAAGGAGAAGCCUCCUAAGUGCUGACCUCUGCUAAGAGGCAUUGUAUGCCAGUUGUUGAGAAGCACAAAAUUGCUGUCUGAACUCAGCUUCACUGCAGGGGAAGUUUCAGCCUACACAAAAACCCUUCUCCUUCAUGCUUCCUGUUUCCAUUAUCACAAUGACAGCAUCUUAUAGGCUGUGAGAGGCAAACUUGCUCUUUCUUCUGAAAUACGUAAAUAUGGCACUAAUUUAGAUUGUGCACUGUGUAAUUGUAUUGAUCUGGAGCACUAUUUCCCCACCUCGGUGUGAUGCCCAGUCUCUGGAGGCUCUGAAGUACAAAAAAAAAGAGGUUGAAGAAAUA
rnacentral:lncRNA from 1 species